rnacentral:lncRNA from 1 species
UAUCCUUCAGAACUUAGCAGAUAGCUAGCAUGAUUUUCACAGAAUUUAAACCAAAAAUUUUCGUCUAAACCAACAACAUGCUCUAGAAAGCAAACACUGAUCAAUAGGUAAAUAAGCAGCCGUAAAAGGACAAAACAACAUACAGACAGAAAUUUAGAAGUAAUACCUGCCAGAGUGUCUAAACCAACAACAUGCUCUACAAAGCAAACACUGAUCAAUAGGUAAAUAAGCAGUCGUAAAAAGACAAAACAACAUACAGAAACUUGAGAAAGACCCAAAUAUAUUCAGGGUGAUUGCAUUAUUUCACAGAGAUAUAGAAUUUAUUGUCAUAAAAUUAUGUGUCUAAAUAAAAAAUAUUUUAAUCAGGAAAACUUCCUUUAGAUUAUUUAAUGCAUGGAUACAGCAUAAGGACUUCCAACAACUAGUGAUAUAUUCAAAUAUGCCACUGAAACUUGAGAAAGACCCAAAUAUAUUAUGUGGUAAUAGUUGAGGUCAAAUAUACUCCAUGUCGUUACAUAAUUAGUUUAAAUAUACCCUUAUUCACUAAUGACAGAAGCUGUCCACACGUAAUUUAUAUUUAUUUAUUUUGCAAGGGAAAAGGCUCAAAUUUUACUUUAAACUAGCAUAGAUUGCAAGCAGUUUGGCAUAUAACUAUAUACAGCCAAACAUUUCUAUCAUAAGCAUAUUCUAUAAGAAUAUUUCACUAUAAUUAUUAACUUUUUCUAAUCAAUUUAUCACAUUUCACUACAGCUGUUAAUCCUCUAUAACUAUAUUUUACAUAUAACAAUAGCGAUCAUCAUUAUCCUACUGCUAAAAACUCCACUCAAAUAUUACGUAAUUUUGCGUUUUACUGUAUAAUGAUAGUUUUGGUUAAUUAGUAAAAUUUUCAAAACUACUGCUAUUUGGAUGAGAUAAAGAUUCAAUUGUUAAAUUUGUAGACUUCCUUUAGAGAAAACUAAUGGAUACCCUUGUUGAAAGUUGGCAAAAAUCUUCGUCACUUGAUCAAGCGUUAUAAUACUAGAAGUAACUGAAAUCUACCAAUCAAACUACAAUUAUAGAUUUCUUCUAUUAAAUUUUAACUUUUUCUCUAACAACAUACAGACAGAAAUUUAGAAGUAAUACCUGCCAGAGAUUGAAGGUGAGUUAGCAGAAGUUCGACCACUAGCGUAGCUGAUCUGGUUCACAACUCGUUUCCCUAAGCUCACGAGUCCACGGCUCUGCAAAUUGGCGGCCAUACAAUACACACUUAAU